AACGUAGGAGACAAACGUUAUCCGGAGUUACUGGGCGUAAAGGGCGUGCAGGUGGUCUGUUAAGUCUGGCGUGAAAGCUCCUGGCUAAACCGGGAGAGGUCGUUGGAUACUGGCGGACUAGAGGACGGUAGAGGCGUGUGGAAUUCCGGGUGUAGUGGUGAAACGCGUAGAGAUCCGGAGGAACACCAGUGGCGAAGGCGACACGCUGGGCCGUACCUGACACUGAUACGCGACAGCAUGGGGAGCGAACGGG
rnacentral:rRNA from 1 species